UGUAGACGUUGGAUCCGAAGGAUUUCCCUGUUCCACUAGGAAAUUGAUUCCAGCCUAGAGUUUAGCAUAUGGAUGAUGUUUCAAUAUCAUGAAUAUAGUGACCCAAGUGAGAGAACAGCAUCACAGCAUGGUUCAAAUAAAGGAGCAGUUUUACUUUUGUUAUCAAGUCGUACUUAAAGUUCUUGAGAAGCUACUGACUUUCAAUUAAGAAAGACUUCUGUUGCCUCACUCUUGAAAUUACCAAAUGGCUUGGAGACUCCUCAUAAAGAACAUGUUCAAGCUGUGCUGAAGCGAUUUGCUUAUGCAGACAAUGUGUUUUCUUGGGAUAUCAUUUAAUUUUCUUUCUGACAGCUCCCUGAAGGCAUUAUCAUCUGAUUUAGGGUGAACAGUGUUUACCCAUUGAUCUUACUUAGAUAAUAUCAAAAUUUUCUCCCAUUUUUUCCAAUAAAACUAAAGCUACAUAGAACAACUCAGCCUAUUUUGUUGAAGGGAUUACAGAGCCCAAUAAAGGAUUUACACUAUAUUCAUUAAUAUUUUAUUUGGAAAGACAGCUAAAGGGAGCUGAGGAUUUCCAGGACCUCAUAAAGCCCUUACUCUGGGAGAACACAAAAGGCUCAUAGACUCUAAGAUGCCAUCAUCUUAUAGGCAUUUCAAGACAGAUACUUAUGCAUGGGUUUUAGCUAGAAUCUCCUUUUAGUUGGUAUUUGAAUAACUCAGUUCCCUAAGAGUCCAAUUAAGAGGGAGUAACUUUCUCCACAAAUUGGAUUCCGUUUUCCUGACCUCCACAUUCCUGGGGGUCCCCCUGGGGCCUCAGAGGACAAGCUGUCUUUCUAGAGCAGCUGGACAAGGACCUGUUGGUCUGGGAAGCAUGUCAGGAUGGCACAGGUCCUCCUCUCCUUCACAUGAACACACUGGUCAACAGUCCAAAACUGAAAUAGAGGUAUGUAUAGAAAGUCCAAGAGGAAAUUUUUGCCUGGCUUGAGUUCUUUCCUAUCCCACCCUAACACUUAACAUAUUACUCAUUCUGCUUUGUUAAAAGCAAAUACUACAUUUUUCUUGCCUCUUACUCUGCCCUUUAGCUAACCAAUAAACUUUGAUAUAGGCAUUACUGUAUAAUUCUGAGGGUCUCUUAUGCCAGAUAUAUUUUUAAACUAAGAUCUAUGAUAGUUAUUUUUUUCUUCAGAGUUCUAUUAAAUCAUUUCUUUCCAUUACUGCCCCACCUCUGCUGUAACAUUUAGAAGUUGGCACUGGGAAUCAGAUCUUGGAAACCCAAAUUCGUAGUUGUGAAAACAGUUCCAUAUUCUGUUUUUGAAAAGAUGUGGCCAUUAUUACAUUCAUUUUAUUAUAGGACUUUGCCUCAUACAGUUAGUGAUAUUUUGGUCAGGGAAUUUUAGUGACUAGGUAUAUCUGAUUAUAAGUUGUAAAGCAAUUGAUACAUGUCUUUGUACAGUAUAAUUCAGUAGAGAUCAGAAUAUUCCAUGUAUUAUAUUGAGGAUAUUUCUAAUAUUAAUUUGUAAAUCUUGAAUUUUUAAGAAGCUUGUUUUCUUCCCUUGGCUAAAUGAAUACUUGAAUUGGUUGAAUUAAAAUUAAUAAUUUUCAUUUAAAAAAUAAUUAUAUGUCAGAAAUGUAUUUUGUAUUAAAUCAAAUUGUGACUCCACCUGUUUAUAUUGUUCACAUAAAUAAUAGUCUAUGGUAAAUAUUAAUUUAAUUUUGAUAAUUGGCCUUUAAUUUUUGUACCCCUAAUUUAGUUUUCUCUGUUAUUGUAAAAUAAUAGAUAUAAUAUACAACAAUAUUCCUGAGAAGGAUUCUAUGGUAUGAUCUAAAUGAAAAUACUGUGUUUUGCCUGAAGUACUUUUAUUAUUUGGAUUUGAAACGUUCUUGUAAAGAAAAAUUUCACAAUUCUUGCUGGUAAGCAUGUCUCUUCUUUAAUGUAUGCCUCAUAUUUUUGUAGCUGGACUAAUGUUUAGAUUUUCAGAGAAAUUAAAUAAGUAAAAUAUGGAAAUAGUGA